CACAUCUGUUUGUAAAUCUUCCUGCCUAUUAGGCGUAAGGUUGCUGUUCCCAAAACAGAAAAGAAAUAACCUUUGUAGGUGGUACAUUUGACACACAAACUACCAACGGCCGUGGUAGCUAGCAACUCAAGAGUUCAAAAAUAAGACGCAGAAGGGAGAGAUCUAUUUCAGAACACACGUCGGAGAUAUUCUCAGAUCAGAGAAGUCAAGAGAAGAGCUUAAGUGCUUGUAUGAUCACGUGUACCACAAUGCAUGGAUAUUGGAAGUUCACGUCUUAACUUCUGACUUCUGAAUCAUAAACUGAAGAAAUAGAAGGCGAUUGAUAAGUUGGCUGCCUUUGAUUUGCUGGAUUUCAAAUUGUGCAGGCCUGUGAAACAACAACAACAACAAAUAACAGAGGGUCAGAGGGAAAGUAUUUAUUGUAUUGUGCUUGUGACACUGAAGUCUCUGACACCGAUUGGCUGCUCAGGAAUAUAUCAAAAGCAAAGCCACUUCAGGAAUAUGCAGGCAACACUGAUGAAUGCCUCCACUGGAAGUUGAUGAUUCUUUACUAAUUAAACCUGCUCCAAAGG